rnacentral:rRNA from 1 species
UACAGAGGUCUCAAGCGUUGUUCGGAUUUAUUGGGCGUAAAGAGCGUGUAGGCGGCUAGGUAGGUCCGUUGUGAAAACUCGAGGCUCAACCUCGAGACGUCGAUGGAAACCAUCUGGCUAGAGUCCGGAAGAGGAGAAUGGAAUUCCUGGUGUAGCGGUGAAAUGCGCAGAUAUCAGGAAGAACACCCGUGGCGAAGGCGGUUCUCUGGGACGGUACUGACGCUGAGACGCGAAAGCGUGGGGAGCGAACAGG